GACGAACGCUGGCGGCGUGCUUAACACAUGCAAGUCGAACGGAAAGGCCCUGCUUUUGUGGGGUGCUCGAGUGGCGAACGGGUGAGUAACACGUGAGUAACCUGCCCUUGACUUUGGGAUAACUUCAGGAAACUGGGGCUAAUACCGGAUAGGAGCUCCUGCUGCAUGGUGGGGGUUGGAAAGUUUCGGCGGUUGGGGAUGGACUCGCGGCUUAUCAGCUUGUUGGUGGGGUAGUGGCUUACCAAGGCUUUGACGGGUAGCCGGCCGGAGAGGGUGACCGGCCACAUUGGGACUGAGAGACGGCCCAGACUCCUACGGGAGGCAGCAGGGGGGAAUAUUGCACAAUGGGCGGAAGCCUGAUGCAGAAACGCCGCGUGCGGGAUGACGGCCUUCGGGUUGUAAACCGCUUUCGCCUGUGACGAAGCGGGAGUGACGGUAAUGGGUAAAGAAGCACCGGCUAACUACGUG
rnacentral:rRNA from 1 species